rnacentral:lncRNA from 1 species
AAGCAAUAAAAAUUGCAAUAAUGACUGUUCUUAAUGCUCUUACUGUGUAGAAAUAUUUACGUAGUCAUAUUAUGUCAAAUGAACUAUAGUAUGUAUUUUCCUCCCAAAGAACAAUAUGUAGAUAUCCUUCCCAAAUAAUGCCUUAUCAUUAAGUUUCCAACUGUUUUCCUUCACUCAGAGUUUUGGUUCUGAUAAAUAUUUCCCUUGCACUUGAAAAAGUGCUCUGGAUUGUAUCAACAUGUCAGUUACAAACCACUUCUUAUUUCUGAUUUUUCUUGGGGGAGGAUAGUGGAAUCAUAUAAACCCCAAAAAAUCAGAUCACCCAAGUCAACAAGAGGGGAUUAUUAGGGAUUCAAUGUUAUUGUGGCAAAUAUUUCCAGAGUCUGUCCGGAAUAUUCUUCCUCUCUACUUUCCAGCCCCAUUCUUCAUUCUUGAACUUGCAAAUCUUUAUUUAUAUUUUAAAACAAUACAACCAUUCUGUUUCUCUGUAGUGUCUGCCCUGUGUCACUGAGGUGGAGGUGUAUUGGUCGCCUCUUCAGUAGUACAUUCAACACAUUGUUUUGUUGACAUCUAUUUGCAUAUUUGUCUGUUUCUCUAAACUGUGAGCACUUUGAGUGUCUUUUCAAAAUAUAUGGCACAUCUGCUAAAAGUAAAACAAAAAUCCAGCUUAAUUAAAUCUUUUGAUCUUAAUUGCUUUUGUUAGCCUGUGCAAUAAUACUUGUAAAUAGCAAGGAAUAAAACUGAAGUUAAAUCCGUGUUAACAGAUGGACUGAGCUGUGUACAAGUUAAGGAUGCCAUUUAUGACCUUCAUGCUAAAUUUGAAGAACAAUCAACACUUAAUAUUUCUUUUCGUUAUUUCUUGGUAAUAUUUCUAGAAGUAGUUUUUAAUGCGUUUCUGUAUAUGACUUAGCAUGUGGAAAUGAAAAGGAGUUGAACUCAUUAUUAGCAUUUUUAAAUUUUGAUAGGUAUUUUUUGGAAUGAAAUGAGGCAAGAUAUUAGAAUCCCAUUUAAAACUCCUCUAAUACUCUUUAGCCUAUGACAGUUUAUCUGUCAUAUCACAUGUAGUUUUAUUUACAUAACAGUGUUUACUUGGUCCAGAAAUAACCUCAGGUAUUACUUCUAACCUGAUAGGUGUCAGGACUGACUGCAGAGAAUUCUUCCACUUGGAACCUUCAGGGAUAGUGCAGUCUAUCAUUGAUAAGGCAGGGUAUUUAUACCAUAUUGUUAUUGUCGUUGUUAAAGAUAAACAAAAAGUCAUUUGUAAAUGUGCUCAAGUUUCUAGAUGUGAGAGGGUUCUACAGGAAUUAUCUUUUAUCAGUAUUCAAUAAGCUUGAACUACACAGAAUUGCUAAGUGUUUGUUCCUCAGACUCCAUUUUCAGAGCGGGUAGUAGUAAUCUUAGCUGAUAUGCUGUAUGUUUUACAAACGAAUACUUACAGCAAACCAAGCCAAUGAUAGCUUUCUGUUAAGUCAAUCAGUGCUGUCUGUCUUCAAAAUAAAGCUUGAUGGGUCUGUUCUCAACAUCUGUGGUGAUUCAUAGCACACAUUCUGUUCCUUUAAGCCCUAUGAUUAGUAACAAGAGACUUUUCUAUUGUCAUGUAACAAUAUAGGAGUUUAUGUAAAUUCUGAAGCAUGAAAAAGAACAAACUUACAAUUUGUGUUUUUAAAGGCACCUUGGACACACUCACCAUUCAGCAUGGAUGAGGUUCGUGGAAAAGAUUGGAGAAAAACUGAAUCUGUUAAUCUUCUUAAGUCAAUGCCUAAGAUAUGUUUAGCAUAAGUACGCUAAACAGAUACUUUCUUUGAUGCUUUCCAGUAAGAUAGAUGAUAAGAUAUUUGAUUUUGAUUGAAAAACAGAAAUUUAAACUUGACACAGAGUAUGCUACUGAAGGUUGAAUUGAACUUAAAAAAAAGCUAUGAGAGUGUUGCCGACACUUUGUCCACCAGUGCUGAAUAGAAACGUGAGACAGAAUUUUAGGCGAAGAAGAAAAAGAUAGCUUUUAUUGCUUUGCCAGGCAAAGGAGGCCACAGCAGGCUAAUGCCUUAGAGACUGUACCCUCCACUGGGAAGAACUGCAGAGAGUUUGUUAUAGUAAAAAGGAGAAGAAAGGUUUUCAGAUAGGAAUCAGGAUUGGGACAGACAUGCAUUCUUCUUUCUUUGGGGAAAUCUUGGUCAUCAAAGCUGAACUCAGGAGAUCUUGGCAUGAUCAUGACGGUGGUCUUCUGGGUUAUUGCCCAGAAUAACAGUACUUGUGGAAAGGGCAUAUUGAUCGGAGAUGAGAGCAAACGAGGAAUGUUUCUACAAAACGCCAUGUCCUCGUAAUCUUUCACCCACAGGCAGUUGCGCCCAGGGUGCCUAGUCUCUAGUUUACGGGUGAUUGUGUUUAGGGUGCAGUUACGUGGGGGAGGAGGACAAGGAAGGACUCUAAACUGUUCAGUUUUAAAGUAUUUAUUUCGAAAAGAAGCAUAAGGAACAUAGCUUUUCUCUUAGGUGUAUAAGAUCAUUAUUUUGUGCAUCAUUCUGUGCAUCCCUUGUGAAGGAACCAGUGUCCUGCCCCAAGGCUAUGCUGUUGUUUUUUGAUUCUUCCUCCCUUGUCUUUGCAUUCCCCUCCUUCCCUGAUCAGCAACUGUCUGAACCUGUCCCUUGGAACUCAGGGAAGGCUGCCGUGGCUGAAUGUGGCACAUUUCCCAAGAACUCAAGAAGUGGAGGACACAGAAAGCCUUUUGUGCCCAGGAGCUCCACAGAGCCCUGCUAGUUUCUUUCUCCUCCUCCUUCUCCACUUUUUUUUUCUUUCCUCUUUCUCCUUGUUUCAAUUUGUCUGCUUUCUAUGUCCUAACCUGGCAAAAUAAAAAAAAUUUACACUCAUAUCAGGACAUAACCUUGAAUGAAUUAUUUACCUUCUCAGAGCUUGAGUGAGAUCACUGGCAAAUUGGGACCAUAGUGGCACUCAUUUAUAGCAGAGACACAUAUUGAGUUUAUUCAUAUCAGAACUGACUCUUGUCUUCUUCCCAACCCACACCGUUAACUUAAUCAUGUCUUCAAACCUAUGUUCUCUUGUAAGGUAACAAACUCACAGGUUCCAGGGAUUAGGGCAUGGACGUCUUUGGGGAGCUGUUAUUCAGCUUACUACACUCAGGAUUAUCUUGCACUCAGAUGUCUCAAAAAUAAAAUUGAGACAUAUUUAGGAUAGAAAAACACAUUUAGGGUAACAAUAAAGACUAAACAUGAACAUUCUCUGAAAUAUAUGUAAUGUCACACAGAUGAGUCAAAGAACAUACCCCCUUGUGUCCCCUCUUACAUGUUGGAUGUAUGCAAGGCAAAUAUCUAGGGCUUGCCCCAAAAUAACAUGUGAUGCAGUUUUUUUUAAUAUAAGAUCUUUACUAACUUGAUACUUCUGUUGAACAAAUUGGUUAGUCUUUACACACUGUUAAAGUAAUACUUCUUAUGUCUCUGUACUUAAUGUACUUUAGGGUAAAAUCAUUAUACUGAAAAGCAAGAAGUACAUCAAAAAGUAGUAUCCCUUUCCAAGUACUGUUUUGGAAAAAUAUGUAAACUGAACAGUUGUUAAGGUAUAGUCUCUAUAAAUUGGGACGUUUAUGUUAACUAUCCCAAAAUGUUAUAUUUAGUGCAAGAGCAAUCCAAAUACUCUUGGGAGAAACCAUACUGAUACUCACAUCGAGCAUUUUAAAGUACUUAAAUAUAUUUUCAAAUCACUGUUGCAUCUGUGAUCUCCAUUUACGCCUACAUCAUCUUGAAGAGUUUUAGAGACGAAUCCUAGAGAUGAAAGCCUUUUUCUCCACAAAUCAGUUCCUUUCCAACCCAUAUGACUUUCUUAGCAAAAACUAAUCUCAGAGGCCCUUCUCACCAGUCCUGGCUGACUAUGCUCUAUUUUUCAUGACUCCAUCCCUUCCUGUUCUUUACUUAUAACUGGUGAGACCAAAGGGAGAAACAUGACCUAAGUUGGACAAUUAAUUCUAUUUUCUCUCUCGGGAACUUGAAGUUUGGAAAGACUUGUUCAUUUAGCUGUGGAUAUGAGAUUUGUAAAGAUAGAUGAAUGAGAAUGGUCAUAUCUGUGCCAUGUGCUUGUAAAUAAACUUGUGGAACCAAGAAGGAGGGAGAAAGAAAAAAAAUCAGACCGGAAAGAAGCCAAAAUGAGACAUUUGUCUAUAGAGAGAAAAGCGGAAAGUAAAUGCCUUGGUUCCUAAGGGUUUUACUUCCUGGUUCUAGUUUCUCAGUUCUUGCUGCAUUUCACUCCAUUGGGUUCUGUGAGGUACCGUGUAGUCUUCCAAUAAAUUUAUUUAUUUUGUAUGAAGAUUCAAGUUAUUUGCAUUCUGCCAGCUCCGGACUGCUAUACAAGGGAAAUCUAAAGCAUGGACAGGUCAAGGAUUUGGAAUGUACAAAAGCAAGUUAUCAGAAGAGCUAGGAGUGGACCGGGCUCGAGGGUUCUGUCUUUGAAUUCCAUGCCAAGGAAUCAGUGGGCAAAACUAGGGCCAGGGAAAACUAAUCCCUCUGAGCAGCCAUCAGAACACUUACCUAAGGGCUCUAGGUUUCCUUGAGAAUUCUGUGAGUGGUCUUUAAUUUUCUAUAAACAUUUUCUCACAUGUUAGUAUUUGGUACUUGAGGUUUUCAUGUUUUUGCUUCCCGAGCCAAAGUCUCUUGUGGAAGUUAAAUUUGUAAUCAGACGUGGAGAUGGCUUCCCUACCUUAAGUGUUUAAAGUGCAUACAUUCCUAGAAUUAGCAAAUUGGGCAAAUGAAUGUCAUAAAUUUUAACAUCACUACCAUAACAUAAAAGUUGUACUGGUAUAAAUGCCAUAUAAGUCUGUUGAUGUACCAUAAAUUCUGGAGGUUUAAGUACACUAAAAGUAAUUUAUUUUCAUUUAUGAAACAGUUUUCUUUUCUUUAAUAUGCAUCCCUGAGGUUUUUCCAUAUUAAAAUGAAUAUUAAAGCAAAGCAAAGUUCAAUUCUAUUUUCCUGCCAAUUAGCUAUGAAAAUAAACUCUACUGUAUCUAAUUAAAAAAAUAUGAUUACCAUUCGAACUACUAUUUUGAAAAUUUAAAAGUGGUUUUGAAAAUAAAACUGCAAUUAAAAUCUGACAAAUAGUUACCCAGAACAAUAAUUUAUUCAAAAGUAAUUUUUAGGAUUAACUUGAAACUUUUUUUUUUUUAAUGGCCACGCCCAAACACAUGGGAGUUUCCAGGCUAGGGACUGAAUCUGAGCUGCAACUAUAACCUACCCCAAAGCUGUGGCAGUGCCCAAGCCACUGUGCUGGGCCAGGGAUCAAACCUGCACCUCUGCAGGAAUGAGCCCCGGCAGCUGGAUUCUUAACCCACCCACUGUCCACAGCAGGAACUCUGAAACUUGUUUUUAAAAGCGAAAAUUAUGGUCAUUCAUUAAGCGAAGUUUGGUCAUUUUUUCUCUGGAAUUAGAAGUUUAAAAAAUUAUUUUCACUUUUUUGCAAUUGUCAGUUGAGUUAGGCUGGCUCCUCAUUCAGAAUAAUACUCUUUUUCAAUUGCAUAACAGAUCUGUCUUAUUCAUUCAUGGAACUAAAGAUACGCAUGUGCCCACUCCCACUCGCCUCCCACAUACAUGUAUAGAUCAAUGUAAAGGUAUAUAUAACUAUAUUUUUAAUGAAAUUCGAACAUAAUAUGAUUUGACAUUAGAAUGUUUUUAAGUAUUGAGAGAAUUUUUGUUUAUGUCUUCUGUCUUGCUUUCAAAUCAUUUUACAAAAUAACAUCUAAUGAGGUUUUUUUCUUUUACUGUAAUAUAGUGAAGUUUUAUGAGGAAAAAUAUUUCACAUAAUUUUAUUUCUUAGGUAAGCCUAUGACAUGGAAAAGAAAAGCAAUUUAAAUGUAUGGCCCAAACCUUUGUACACAGUUCAGAAAGCAUUGAUUUAUUUAAAACACAAAAGAAGAUUUGGACCUAGCCAUGGUUUGCCAAAGUAUAACUAACAGAGAUAGAAACAAAACCUACAUAUGAGUGUAAAAGAAG